UGCCGUUGCUGGGCUAGGCAAGAAAAGCCACAUAAAAGUUGGCCAUAACAACAAGGCCCAACUAAUCUAGGGUUGCCCUACCUAUAAAUAUCAAUAAUUCCACUUCUUUCCCCUUUCAUUCCAUCGUCCGCCCACCACAAAACAGGUAGAGAGAUCAAAGUAAGGCUUGAACAACGAGAUGCGUGCUAAGUGGAAGAAGAAGAGAAUGAGGAGGCUAAAGAGGAAGCGCCGAAAGAUGAGACAACGAUCCAAGUAGAGAAUGAAGUUUAGACUGUAGGGUUGGCUUCCUUCCAAUCUUUCUUCGUGCACAUUACAUCUCUAGCAGAGACAUGGAGUUUGAAUGUAAAAGAUGGAUCUUUGGAUCGAAGCUUUAUAUGGUCUAGUUGGUUUUAUAUCUUGUUGCUUUCUUUUUGUUUUUCAACUGCUGCCCAACACUAUCGGGUUUAACAUUUUGAAUGAAACUUGUAUUUGUUUUCUUUGAGUGUUUGAUUAUUGAUAUUUAUAGUCUAUGUAGAAUCCCUAUCUUAUA